GUUAGGAAUAUUGGGCAAUGGAGGAAACUCUGACCCAGCAACGCCGCGUGAAGGAUGAAGGUUUUCGGAUUGUAAACUUCUGUUCUAUGGGAAAAAACAAAUGAUGGUACCAUAGGAGAAAGCCACGGCUAACUACGUGCCAGCAGCCGCGGUAAUACGUAGGUGGCAAGCGUUGUUCGGAAUGACUGGGCGUAAAGGGAGCGUAGGUUGUUUUUUAAGUUAAAUGUGAAAGCCCGGGGCUUAACUCCGGAAUGCCAUUUAAUACUGGAAGACUAGAGUGCAGGAGGGGUGAGCGGAAUUCCUAGUGUAGCGGUGGAAUGCGUAGAUAUUAGGAAGAACACCAGAGGCGAAGGCGGCUCACUGGACUGUUACUGACACUGAGGCUCGAAAGCGUGGGGAGCAAACAGGAUUAGAAACCCGGGUAGUCC
rnacentral:rRNA from 1 species